rnacentral:lncRNA from 1 species
GACGAAGCAGCUGCUUCAGACCGAAGGCAAGCAAUCGAACCUCGUGUACUCGCCGGUGUCCAUCCACGUGCUGUUGAGCCUGAUCGCGGCCGGCUCAAAGGGUCCGACUCAGGACCAGCUGCUGUCUUUUCUCAAAUCAAAGUCCACCGACCACCUCAACUCCUUCGCCGCCGAGCUCGUGUCCAUGAUCUUCUCCGAUGGGUCCCCUAGCGGCGGCCCCCAGCUGUCGUUUGCUAAUGGGGUUUGGGUGGACGGGUGUCUCCCUCUGAAGCCUUCUUUUAAGCAGGUGGUGGACACCUCUUACAUGGCUGCUCUUGCCCAAGUCGAUUUUCAGACCAAUGUAAGCUCUCAAACCCACUGUCCUGUCGUUUCGAUUGUCUUUUUUUCCGAGGAUGCUCUUGAUCAAAGUCUUCAAUUUUUUCGAUGUGAUUAGAGAUGCUUGUUCCUUUGUUGAACCUAAAUUGUAGGCCUGCUGAAUCUCUUUUACUUGUAGCAUUUCAACUAAAAAUUUCCUUUCUCUAAUCAUUAAUGUUUGUGCUUGUUAGCUAUUACAGAAUCAUAUCGUAAUUCGUAGAUUUUUGUUAUAGUACGAUCAUCACUAGGUUAAUAGUAUUGAAGUAACAUGCAGGCUGAUAUAUCAUUGUUUUCUAACUUGUCGUAACUGUUGCUGGUGCUCGAGGCUGCUCAAGUGGCCUCGGGAGUGAAUUCAUGGGCUGAAAAGGAGACGAGAGGCCUUAUCAAGGAGGUACUUCCUCCCGGGUCAGUUGACAGCUCAACCAGGCUCAUCUUUGCAAAUGCGUUAUACUUCAAAGGAGCUUGGACUGAAAAGUUUGAUGCAUCACAAACGAAAGAGCAUGAUUUCUACCUUCUCGAUGGGAGCACAGUUAAGGUGGCCUUCAUGACCAGCAGGAAGAAGCAGUAUGUAAGAUCCUUCAAUGGUUUCUCAGUCUUAGGGCUUCAUUACAAGCAAGGUGAAGACAAGCGAUGUUUCUCCAUGCACAUGUUUCUCCCAGAGGCGAAAGAUGGGCUGCCAGCUUUGGUUGAGAAACUUGGUUCUGAGUCCGGGUUUUUGGAUCGCCAUCUUCCUAACCAAAAAUUUGCAGUGGGUGAUUUCAGGAUUCCAAAGUUUAAGAUUUCAUUUGGGUUUGAAGCUUCCAAUGUCCUUAAAGGUCUUGGCUUGGUGCUGCCAUUCGGUGGCGGAGGAGGUUUGACAGAGAUGGUGGACUCGCCUGUGGGUAAGAACUUGUACGUUUCCGGCAUAUUCCAUAAGUCGUUCAUCGAAGUGAACGAAGAAGGCACAGAAGCUGCAGCUGUGUCUGCCGGGCGUGUUAGGCGUUUGCGUCUGGUAGUGCCAAGGACGGUUGACUUUGUGGCCGAUCGUCCAUUUCUCUUCUUGAUCAAGGAAGAAUUGACCGGAACUGUGCUUUUCAUCGGGCACGUACUCAAUCCUCUUGCAGACUGAGCGUUGUUAUUCCCUGUAAAAGGCAAAUGUAUACGUAGAACUACACGAGAUUAUAUAUAAAAUGUAUGAUCAUCUCUAUUAAAAUAAAUGUAUGAUCAUCAUGUUCACGUCGUCUUGUUUAUAUAUAUAAAUGUAUGAUCAUCUGUGUUAAAAUAAAUGUAUGAUCUUCAUGUUCAUGUCGUCUUGUUUCUCUCAUAUGGCUUUUGUUGUUCGUUCUGCCAUGGCUAUACCUACCCGAAACUGUUGGAAAUGCUUUGGGGAUAGGCUUUUACCCAUUAAUGCUGGAAAUGUUUUUCUCCUUAAUUGUAUUGGGAACGGUUUGGACUAGAGGUUUUUCUUUUUAGUUAAGUGUCGGAUUGUCCCGGUGAAUAGUCAUUCCUUAACCAUUUGCAUGGGCUUAAAUUCUUUGUAAUUAGUUUAAAGCAACGUUGCUCUUGUAAUAAAAAAACAUUAUAAACCAAGUGCUCGGUAAUUAUUGCACGUUCAGUUAACAUGAAUCGGGACAAGUAAAGAAUCAUAGAACUUACGAGCAGGGAAUGUACAGAGGGAAAAUUUAUCUUAUCAACUGGCCAUGUAAUUUACAUAAUUCUUGAAUUUUAGGUUAAGUUAUAUUUUGUAGAUCAGGCGUAAGUUGAUUUUUUUUUUAAAUUAUUAAAGAAAUCAAUCAUCAAUUAUCACAUAAUGUGAUUUGUAAAAUAUUGUUCGAGUAGAUAGUCUCUCGAGAAUGACUCAAACUUUAUAAUGAUUUUGAUUUUUAUUACAUAGUAAUCAUGUCAUUAAGGUCAAACUUUGAACAAACAUCCAUUUACAUAGCAAGCAUGUUAUUAUGGUGUAUGCUCAUCGUCGCUUUCAAACCUUGACAUGUGUCUUCUAACAUAACCAUAAUGAAAAUUAUACUUUCAAAUUUAUUUUUUUUAUUUUGAAAGGAUGUCAACUAGUGCCAAGCUAGGACUAGAAACACAAUUUGGCAACAACAUUCCAUAUUUACCCCUGCUUUUGCUGGCUGUAUCUCAAAAAUAUAUGGGCAGUCCUCCUAAUUUUCAUCUUCUUACCGGAAUCUCACCCCACAAAUCAAAUUACAGCCCACAACUGCCUAAUUUUUGUUAGUACCAAAAUCAAGAACCAAUAACAAUAUCUUAUUAUUCGUUGCAGUUUAAAUGACACUUGUUGAUGAGUUUUGUUGCAGUUAAAUUUCAGGAUAAUAUUAGAGAGACUAAAUUUGAAGAUGAAAUUUACAAAUUAAAUGUUAUGUCACCAAUAAAAAUGAGCAUGUUUAUUAACGUUUAAAUGAUAAACCAAUUAUCAACUUCUAUAUAUGUUUGAACCCGAUGUUACACCAUCGGUUCGAGUAAUCGAGGCUAUUGAAUAAGCAGAAUUUUAGAUCGUUGAAAUUAUUAGAAAAUCUGAGCAUGCACGAUAGUUAUAACGGUGAGAAAAGUUACGGUAAUAUUAGCGUACUUCUUACGUGGCCACGCCCAAAACGAAGUCGUGGCAACUCGCGCGAAUGCCACUGCUCCCUCUAUCGUCUUCUUUCCCGCUUGGCUUCGCAUUGAUCGUUUGAACCUGUAACCGAUCACCGAUCACCGACGACCGACACCGACUUUCCUAUUUUCUCGAUGGUGAGAAAGCAUACGGCCCAAUAUUAGCGUACUUCUUACGUGGCCACGCUCAAAACGAAGCGUGGCGACUCCCACGAAUGCCACUUCUCCCUCUAUUGUCUUCUUCCCCACUUGGCCUCGCAUUGAUCGUUUGAACCUGCAACCGAUGACCGACGACCGACACCGAGAUUUUCCCAAACCUUGGUCCUUACUCUCGUAUAAAUUAGAAACGAACAGCGGAACAAUUUUCUCGCAACCGGAAGCACAGCAAACAUGGAUCUGAGAGAAAGCAUCAUCAACCAAAACGACGUCGCAAGGAGGCUGACGAAGCAGCUGGUUCAGACCGAAGGCAAGCAGUCGAACCUCGUGUACUCGCCGCUGUCCAUCCACGUUGUGCUGAGCCUGAUCGCGGCCGGGUCAAAGGGUCCCACCCAGGAGCAGCUGCUGUCGUUCCUCAAGUCAAAGUCCACCGACCACCUCAACUCCUUCGCCUCCCAGCUCGUGUCCGUGAUCUUCUCCGACGGGUCCCCCGUGGGCGGCCCCAAGCUGGCGUUUGCGAAUGGGGUUUGGGUGCACAAGCCUCUCCCGCUGAAGCCUUCCUUCGAGCAGGUGGUGGACGCUUCUUACAAGGCCGCUCUUGCCCCAGUCGAUUUUCAGACCAAUGUAAGCUCCCAAACCCUCUGUCAUGUCGUAUCGAUAGUGUUUUUUUUCAAUGCUGCUCAUGAUCAAAGUCUUCAAUUUUUUUCGAUUUGAUUGGAGAUGUUUGUUCCUUUGUUGAACCUAAAUUGCAGGCCUGCUGAUGCUCUUUUAUUAUUGUAGCAUUUCAAAUAAAUAUUUCCUCUCUAAUCAUUACUGUUCGUGCUUGUUCUUCUGAAUAGCUUAGCUGUUACGAAAUCGUAUCGUAGAUUUUUUGUUCGUUACUGUUUGUGGUUGUAAUUGAUCGAGAUAUGCAGGCUGAUAUCAUUGUUUUCUAACUUGUCGUAACUGUUGUUGGUGCUCAAGGCUGCUCAAGUGGCGUCGGGAGUGAAUUCAUGGGCUGAAAAGGAGACGAGCGGCCUUAUCAAGGAUCUACUUCCUCCCGGGUCACUUGACAGCUCAACCAGGCUCAUCUUUACGAAUGCAUUGUACUUCAAGGGAGCUUGGAAUGAGAAAUUUGAUGCAUCAGCUACAAAAGAGCAUGACUUCCACCUUCUCGACGGGAGCACAGUUAAGGCGCCCUUCAUGACCAGCAAGAACAAGCAGUAUGUAAGUGCCUUUGACGGUUUCUCAGUCUUAGGGCUUCCUUACAGACAAGGUGAAGACAAGCGGCGCUUCUCCAUGCACAUCUUUCUUCCACAGGCGAAAGAUGGGCUGCCAGCUUUGGUUGAGAAACUUGGCUCUGAGUCCGGGUUUUUAGAUCGCUAUCUUCCCAAACAACCAGUUGCAGUGGGCGACUUCAGAAUCCCAAAGUUUAAGAUCUCAUUUGGGUUUGAAGCUUCCAAUGUCCUAAAGAGUCUGGGACUGGUGCUGCCUUUCGAGGGUGAAGGAGGUCUGACAGAGAUGGUGGACUCGCCCGAGGGUAAGAAGCUAUAUGUUUCUAGCAUAUUCCACAAGUCGUUCAUCGAAGUGAAUGAAGAAGGCACAGAAGCUGCAGCUGCUUCUGCCGGCGUUAUAAGUGAGAGGAGGAUGCCCAUGACAUUUGUGGCUGAUCGUCCAUUCCUCUUCACGAUCAGGGAAGAAACGACCGGAACAGUUCUGUUCAUCGGUAACCUGCUCAACCCUCUUGCCGGCUGAGUGUUACAACCCCCUGGGAAAGGGCAUCAGAUGUACGUAGAAUAAUACGCGCGAGACUGUAGUAAAUAAAAUGUAUGAUCCUUGUAUACAUGUACUAUGUUUGGUUAUUACCUAAUCACCCUGUACUUGCAGCAGUUGGUCUUGUUUCUCCCAUGUGGCGAUUUUUGUUUGUUCUCCCAUGGCGUUUAUCCAUGUGUAGAAUCUUGAUUCUGAAUACUUAUUUUAUGAUGUACUCUGUUUGAACAAUAAAAGUUUUAGCCGACUGCAAACGUCGGUUAGUGUUAAAGUAUUUAAUAUAUAGAAUGGACGAGUGCUAGUGUUGUACCAUACACAUGGUUGGUGAUGAAAAAGAUUAAACUUUGAAUAUUCUAUAAAAUAUUAUUUAACUUGGGACGAGGAUCUUCUUUGUGAGGAUCUUAUGAAUUAAUUUAUCUUAACGGUUCAUUGUACAUCGUGUGACCAUCUUUCAUUAGAUACUUUUUGUGUUAAAUUUUAAAUAAAUUCAAAAUAAUUUUUGGCUGCAGGAUGAUUGAUAAACAGAUAUGAUGCAUUGAUUCCUAAAGUCCUCACAAAGAGAAUCCGGAUGUUUAUAGUCCUCCAUGACUGGAGAUGGCCUAAGAUGCUAAACACUUAACACUACCCAAUUUUUCCAGUUAGUUAAAUUUUCACAAUUAGUGUAUUAAAUUGCUUAAGAAAUGUUAUCAGCACUCUAAAAUAAUUGACCAUAUUUUCUUGACUCUUUUGUUAAAUUGCAUGAAGAUUUUUUUGGAUAGUCAAUAAUAUCUCCCAAUUGCUUAACAUAGAAUUAAAUAGAGUAUCGCUAACUAGAGCAUGAUAUGUUUCUGUGUCUUUGAUGCCCUUUGCUCGAGAAAAUUUAGUAUAGGGUUUUCAUCACAAAUGGUCCCUGACAUUGAUCAAACACAUCAUUUUGGUCCCUGACAUUGAAAAUCAAUAGAAAUGGUCCCUGACAUUGAUCAAACACAUCAUUUUGGUCCCUGACAUUGAAAAUCAAUAGAAAUGGUCCCUGACAUUGAUCAAACACAUCACAAAUAGUCCUUCCGUUAAAAACGUUUUGGGCAAUUUUCAAAGCUUUGUAACUCAAUCGUUUCUUAACCAAAUUCGACCCAUAAUAUAUCAAAAUGAAGAUAGGAAAGUGUAGAACAAGAUUAUACCUAUUUGGAAACCCAAUGGUUGCCGGAGAUGGCCGGAAAACAGCCUCAAAUGUGACUGGUCCGCGAAAAAACUGGAAAACUCGCCUGAAAUGGGGUAAACUUUAAACAUUCAUAACUUCUUCAAUAAUCAACGAAAUCGAGUGAUUCAAAAAUGAAAAUCAUACUUCUCGACGAGACUAAGAGAAUGGUAGCUUUCUUGAUGGCUAACUCAUUGUAGUUUGGCCGGAAAAUGACUCGAAAUUGGCUAACUCGAAAAUGGUUAUCCAAGUUCGAGCCAUUUUCCGGUCAAACCACGGUAAAUUAGUAGUCAAUAAAGAUACCAUUAUCUUUCUCUCAUUGAGAAGUAUGAUUUUCAUUUUUGAAUCACUCAAUUUCAUUGAGUAUUGAAGAAGUUAUGAAUGUUUAAAGUUUACCCCAUUUCAGGCGAGUUUUUCAGUUUUUUCGCGGACCAGUCACAUUUGAGGCUGUUUUCCGGCCAUCUCCGGCAACCAUUGGGUUUCUAAAUAGGUAUAAUCUUGUUCUACACUUUCCUAUCUUCAUUUUGAUAUAUCAUGGGUCGAAUUUGGUUAAGAAACGAUUGAGUUACGAAGCUUUGAAAAUUGCCCAAAACGUUUUUAACGGAAGGACCAUUUGUGAUGUGUUUGAUCAAUGUCAGGGACCAUUUCUAUUGAUUUUCAAUGUCAGGGACCAAAAUGAUGUGUUUGAUCAAUGUCAGGGAUCAUUUGUGAUGAAAACCCUUUAGUAUAUGAACGACAAACUACGUGUUAUUACGGCCACAGACGAUAAUCCAGACUAUUUGUUUAAUACUUAAGCUUACUUGUGGUCCCAUUAUGUAAAAAAAUUUUGCAUUAGUCUGCACACAAGAAAUUUUUUAUUGGUUUCAGUUGAGCUCAAAUAAUAAUAAUCUGUUCGUGUAAAAGUUAAAAUUUAUCUUAUUAUGUAAUUGAUUUAAAAUACCGUAAAUACUGAUUUAAAAUUAUCUCAUUGUCAGCUUGUGUGUCAUUCUCGUAGAAUUUGGAAUUAUUCACAUUGUUUAGUAACGUAGGAUAUUUCAAGAAGCAUUUUUGCUCACUAUCAUUUAGUGUAAUGUAUAUUCAUCAUUCUAUUUAUCAUCGUUAGAUGAGUUUGAAUUUUAAGAUCCGUGUAGUGGAUAGACACAAAUUUCAAAAUUCAAUCUCAUCUAACGAUAAUAAAUAUGAUGAUGAACAUAAAUCAAAUAAAUGAUGAUGAAAAAAAAUACAUAGAUAUUUCAGUACAUGAAAACGUCACGUUAAUGAAAGGAGCUGGAGCGCCUGCUGCUGACCUCGGUCAAACAGACGGUGUGGGUUUCACGUGGCUGGCGCGAAAUCUAAACCGUUAAUUUAAUGUUAGUUAUCUCUCCCCUUGUCACGACUCCCAUGUAAUGCUGUAAAGUCACAAGCACCCAUCGUUUGGUUCUAAUAUUACAACAGUACCGCCCAUGGAAACACAAUCUUAAGCAAUCUCUAAUACUCAUAAUGUUGUUGAAGUUUUGCACUAAUAAUAGUUGCUAAACAGUGAUUAGACAGUCAGAUAAGAGACAGGGUUUAUGAUGUGAUUUGGACGUCCCAUCCUUUGCCACUUAAAAUGUCUUACCUACCAAACAUAUCUUGAAAAAUAAUUUAGCUUGGUACGAAGAAUCACAAUUUUUGUUUAUAAUUGACGAAAUCAAUCAAUGCAUGUUUUUUAUCAAAUCAAUAUUUAUUGGGAUAUUCAUCCUUAAAAUCUUCAUUUUGUUAUAAAACAACAAUAUAUUUAUUAUUUUUAAAAUUUUGUAAUACGUUUAUUUAAGUAGUGACUUUGAACGUUUUAAAAUUGAAAAAUCAAUAUUUAAAUGCAAAGUUGUCCGUUUUGAAUAAUCUCUAACAAUAUUUUCCUUCUCGUAAAUGAGUAAGAUUGGUUUAUUUUGUACACAAUUAGAUAUUGAGAGUUGAAAUUCUAAAUACUAAGUUCUUCUUAACAUAUUUUCGUAACCAUUUAAGAUGUUUGUAUAUUCGAAGAAUAUGGAAAAAUUGAAUCAACCCAGAUUAUUAUUAUGGCUGUCGACAUCUUUUAUCAGAGGAUAGCCAUCAAGUCACACCGCAUAUCCAGAAAGAGAAAUCCAUCCAAAAAAUAGGAAAACGAAAUGACAUUCCUUAUUUUCCUCCAUGGACGUCCCUUCUCUCCCCACCACGAAGGUCCCAGCUGAAAAGAAACGGAUGGCACAAUCGUGAUUAUCACAAACAGGAAUGUCAAAUUGUAGCAAGAGCAUGGUCAGCGCCGUUACAAAUAAGUGGAAGUUCCUCGGAAGAGUAAGAGAACGCGACAAUCAUAACGUAAUCUAUCUCUUCACUUUCUCAAUCCUUUUCUAUCUUUUUUUUCUUUCUGGGUUCCUUGUACUUCUCAUAAAUAUUAAGAGUUUAAUUCAAAAGAAAGGAACUUUCUCUUUCAUUGCUUACAUUUUUUUUUUCAGAUUAUUUACUUUCCCUUCCUUGCAGUUGCUUGGAAGAAACCAAGCUCAGAAGACCUUUGUUUUUUGAGAAUUCAGUUCAAUCCGUUUAUAUAUAUAUAUAUAUAUGGUGUUGAUGAUUUACCAGAAGUGAUAGUGCUUCAACCGAGAAGAAGAAGCUUUUAGUCUUCAGAAAUUCAGAGAAAAGAUAAGGAAGUGGAAGAGUGAAGGAAAAGCAAAUCAAAAGAUGGGAGAAACUGCUCCUCAUCCUCCACCACAGGUGGUUGCUCGGCCGUCUCAGAUGCCUCUUGGGGCAGCGAAGGGUCCCCAUUUGGACUCCAACUGAGCAGCUCCACAACCUUCAGUAUUGCAUCCACUCCAACCCCUCUUAGCGUUAGUCUCUCUCUGUUUCUGUUAAUUUCUUCGUUCUGGGUUUUAUAUUUUUUGAGUAAAAAGCUGAUUAAAGUUGUGCUAUUUUAAUGGGUUGGUUUAAAAGUUGAAGCUUUUGGCACUACUUCUUAUUUAGUUUACUAGUUUGCUUUUUAUUCCUAAUUUUGCAAAUUACUUUUACUAUUUUUGUUUCGGAUUCUCUAAUUUAUUGUGUUCGAAUCUUUUUAAGUACUGUAAUUAGUUCUAAUAAAAUAAUAAGCAUAUGUUCCAUUACCAGUUUCAACUUAUCCUGCUUACAAGACAUCGAUAUCACUCGAAAAUGUUUAGGAAGUGUAAACGUAAAUUUCCCAUGUUUAUCAAAUGCAACAAACUGCUUCUAAUGGAUCGAAUUUUACAGCGGAAACAUUCGUACUCGCUUUUCAGCACUAUAUUGUGAUGCUCGGAUCCAUAGUUAUAAUUGCCACUAGUUUCGUGCCUCGGAUGGGUGGGGAUCAUGUAAGUUAUGUCCUCUAUACAGUAAAGUUUAUAAUAUGCCGGUUAAGAUUAGCGAUCACACACGUAGCUUUGAAUCCGUGAUGUUAAUGUUUGGGUUUUGUUCUCCCUUUGUGAUCAGGGUGACAAGGCACGCGUGAUUCAGACGAUGCUGUUUAUGGCAGCAAUAAACACUUUGAUCCAAACAUUCACGGGACAAGGCUUCCAACAGUGAUGACUUCGUCAUUCGCUUUUACCCUUCCGGUGAUGUCAAUCAUCAAUGAUUAUUCUGAUCGGAAUUUUAGAAGUGAACAUGAGGUAUGUAAAGUUUGAAACAUGUUAUUCAUAGAGGAUUUAACAUCACAUUAAUUUACUUCUUAAAUUGCUUUAAGAAAUUUCAGUUAUAGACUUUGAGAUGAAAAAUACGUGGUGCAAAAAACGUGUAAACCUUACAUACCUGUAGAAGACGUCAUGAUGAAUUUCUGGUUUUGAGGACGGAAUAGAUUGAAGCACGUCCAUGCACUGUUGCGUCAUAUGCAACAAACUGAUGGGGAGUUCUAGGGUUGUGGCAUUAGCAAUGUGACAGGGACCUCAAACUUACAUAGGCCUCACGUCCCUAGAACCCUACCCACUAAUGGAGACUAGAAACUCUUAUGAUCCUCUAACGAGAAUAAUAAAGCCAAUGGAAAUGUUAGCACACAAUUGUUGUACAUAUAACAGACUUCGAGCAAUUUUUGGAACACGUAAAACAUUGUUAAGAAUAAGAUCAUGAGUAUUGGUUUUAAUGGUUGUUGCAUCAAUAUUCUUAAUGGAUAAACCUGUUCCAUUUCCAACUGUGAUUUUAUCAAAACCUUGGAAUGGUGUAACUUGAUUCAAUGUGGUGGCAUCAGCAGUGAUAUGAUGAGAUGCACCAGUAUCAACAAUCCAUGCAUCAUGAGGAAUAUAUUGUUCUAUCUGCUGUGUUGCCAUAGCUGUUAAGUUUGCAGGUGGUUGUUGGCCUUGAAAAACAUAAUUCCCUUUGUGAUAACAUUCAAGAGCUGAGUGACCUUUUUUUCCCACAAAUCUGACACUCCAUUUGAAAUCUAGUAUUUGGUGUAGUAGCAUUUCUGUGAAAACAAUUGACUGCAGUAUGCCCUUUCUUGUUGCAGAUUUGGCACUCAAUCACUGUUGUUGACCUGCUCUCUGUGUUUCCAUUCCACACAUUUGAACCAUUUGACCUUGAAUUGCCAUACGAAAAAUCAGAAGAGUUUCCUAUGUUGUAACCCUUGCUUUUGAAUCCACCAUUUGUCUUGUAAUUAUUGUUACCCUUGUAGUUUGAACCACCAAAAGGUUUCUGCAUGAAAUGAGGUAUUGGACCAGAAUUUGAUGCAUUAGCCAUAAACCCAAAACCAUAGGGAACUUGAGGAUAAACUGGACCAGGAAAUUGCGGAGACAUAGGAGGUUGAGGCAUAUGAGGUUGCUGUGGAUAUUGUUGUGGCAAGACAAAUGGCUGUGGUUAUUGUGGCUGUGGAUAUUGUUGUGGAUAUUGCUGUGGUAAAACAAAUGGCUCAGCAGAAUAUGGAUAUGGAUUAGGAGUUAUAACACCACCAGUGGUUGCAGGUAAAUGACUAUGCCCUGCAGGAUUAGACCCUGAAGCAAAUGAAUUUCCCUGAGUUGACUAAGAACCCUAAACAUAUAAGGCAGAUAGACUUUGAGACCCAACACUUGUGUCUCAUUCAAUCUCUUUUUCAGCUCUAAAUUUUUUCAAGGAAAUGGAUGAUUCUUUGCCAUAUAUCACAGUUCGAAUAGUUGCAUACUCCUUCGGCAAACCAGCUAAACCAGCAAUUAUAACAUCAUUAUCAGAAAUGAACUCUCCAGUAGCAGUUAAUUGUUCUCUUAUACUCUUCAAUCUUAACAGAUAUUUAUCCAUCAAAUCUCCUCAUUUUUGAAUGGUGUACAACUCAAUUUUUAAAUGAUUUACCCUAGUUUUAGACACUGAAGCAAAUCUAUCCACAAGAUUCGACCAAGCCUCACAAGCAGUUAAACAUCCAAGAACAUAUUUAAUAGCCUCAUCAAACAAAGUAGCUAGUAAAAGACUUAGUAAUGGAUAUGUGGAUUCCCAUUCAACAUAUUCAGCAAGUUCAGAAGUAACUCCUCUCUUAGUAUCUAUUACAAAUUUUUGUGGACAACCAAUAGUGCCAUCAAAAUGCCCAAACAAUUUAUGACCUUUCAACACAUAUUUGAACUGAAAAGCCCAUUUCACAAAAUUAUCAUCCUUCAACUUUAUUGUGAUCAUUCCCAGUUUCAACUUUAACACUUGAAGUAGUCAUGAUUUCUUGAUCGAACACAUAGAAUUUGCAAAUAACAAACAAACACCCAAAAAUUUCUGAUAUACGUAUUGAAAGGAAAGACUGAAACUUUCUCACAACCCAAGCAAGACUGAAACUCGCUUAAUACUCAGGAAAAACUGAAACUUUCUUGAUGAAUCUUGCACACAAAUACAACACACAAUUCCAAUUCGGAAAAGAAAACACAAAAUCUUCUAAUCAGGACUGAAACCCAAUUACUCAACAGAAAUUCACACUAUCACUUGAAUUGCAGCUGUGAUUGCAGCCACAAAUAGCCAGAAUACCAACCGCCAGAAAGAACAACAAGGAUCUGCAAUCGCCAGAACUUUUGAACAAACCCGUUGAAAAGACCUUUCAGAAUCCUUGAACUGGAUAGCAGCGAAAGAACUAGGAUCGAAAACGGUAGUGAACCAUGGUCAGCGAUGAUACCAUAUUAACAGUGUUGAAUUGUGGCCAAGUGGCCAUCACCUUUCGGCUAAUAAACAAACAAAGAAAAGAAAAAGAAAGACAAAAUGAUGAGGAAACAUCAUGAUGAGGAGGCAUCAUGAUUAUGCUUUCUUGUAGUUUUUUAAUAACCAUAAUUAUUGUUUUUGUUUCGGGUAGAAGAGAAGAAAGGGAGAGCUCAUUUUUUAGAAGAAAGCAUAUUAAAGAGAGAAGAGGAGAGAGAGAAGGUAGAGCCUUUUGGUUAUAAAAGGCAUUCGAUUAUGCCUUUGGAUGUGGGAGGGGGGGGAGCGGCAGAUGAGAGAGCACAGGGAGAGCAUUCGGCUCUCCCAUUUGAAUAUGAGCUGCUCCUUCCCACCAUUUGUAAUAAUCCCAUUUUGUUAGUAAUCACUCAAUCAAAGAUGUUGGUGCUACUUGUGUAGCUUUUGGGAGAGAAGGAUUUUGAUAUGUGUUUCUUCUUCUCCAUUUGUUUCUUAGUUUGAGUGAGAGCUAUUGGGUGUAUGUGGGAUUUGGGUUUGAGUGUUGAACUCUAUUUGUAAUCUCCUUUUGAUAUUAAUGGAAUUUCCUCGCCGUCUCGGAACUGGAUGUAGGCUUACGCCAAACCAGUAUAAAAAUCCUUGUGUCUUUUGGAUUAUUUGUCUUGUCAUAUUUUGCCGUUAUUAGCUUUGAUUUCAUAUUUGAAGCUUCCGCACAACAAGUGGUAUCAAAGCUCCGGGUUUCGACUUGGAGGCUUUGUACUAGUAUGUCUAUGAAAUCUUCAAAUGACGGUGAAAUAUGUUUUUUGGAAAAAUUCGACUGGAGGAAUGACUUUGGCAUUUGGUCAAUUGGAGAUGCAGAGUUUGGCUGCAAAAUGCGUGGCGUUGAAGAAGGAUAGUAAGGGACUAUGCUGCAGUCAUUGAGCUUGCAGAUUGGAGAAUGGUUUCGGAAACAGCGUGUCUGCUGCAAUGUUGCCGUCGAUGUUGUUGAAGUGUUGGUGUUCGACAGCUGCAGAUGUAGUGUACUGCUUUUGGUGGGUUCUCUGUUGGUCAUCGCUGCACCGGAGGUGUUUGUGGGCUGUUGUCGACGAGUUGAGUGGGAAGGAGAAAAGGUAGAAGCAGUUGAAAAUUGAAAAGAAAAUGUUGGUUCUUUUUCUUUCGGCAUUUGUUUUGGCAGAAGGACAUCAUGAUGACAAAUGAUGUUGUUGGCUGGAAGAAAAGGGAAAAAGGCUAAGGCUAAGUUUUCUUUUCUUUGGCAUUUUUUCAACGGCAGAAAAUUUUUGGUUCUUUUUUCACUCCCAUUAGUUGCCUUUGGAGCAAGUUGAUGGAAACAUUGGAGGAGUUUGUGAGGGCCAAUUUGUUGAGUUCUGCAAGUUUGGAUAGUGAGGCACCACACUAUUUUGGAUACACCACAUGCACUGCAGAACAUUUGUGUGGAACCCUCUUGUAGAAGGCAAGUUAUAUGCUUUCUAACUUUGUUUGGUCUAUGGACAUUUAGUUGGAUUUGUUUGCCACUGCUAUUUGGUUUGUUGGUCUCCAUCAUCUGCAAUUAGUUUUCUUGAAGACUCCAGUUGAGGUAUGGUUUUGGAUCUCCUGCUGAUUAUUUGAAUUUGAAAUUUUUGGUUGUCCUGUUGGUGCUCAUGUGAUGAUGGUAAACUUGAGUGGAGGGCAUAGUUUUUUUGUAUGUGGUAUGUUAGACCUUGUUGCCAAAUUUGUAAUCAGUUUUGACUUGGAGAAUAUGCCGUGCUAUUUGAAUGAGUCUAUUGAUGCAGUUUAAGACCAUGGUGUUUGUAAGCAGGUGGAGUUCGUUCUGUGUCCAACUUUGGUAUGGUGUGCUUGAUCUUUUGUUAGUGAUAUUGAAGAAUUUCAGUUCUUCGUUUGAAUCACUUUUGUUUUGAUCAAGGCACUUAUGGUUUGCAAAUUUGGAGAAUACGGUAGAGAAAUGGUCUACUUUUGUUGGCUUUGGUAUAAUUUGAGUCGAGGUGGAGAUCAUUAUGAGUACCGGAAAGUUUGGGGAAUUUGAUUUAGUUCCCGUUGUCUUUAGUUUGUACUUUGGGUGAUUAUGGUGAUUGUUGAUUCGAUUCUCUGUGAUGGUUUCGGAACUUGGCCAAGGUGGAGAUUGUUGAAUUGUGGCCAAGUGGCCAUCAUCGGCUAAUAAACAAACAAAAGAAAAGAAAAAGAAAGACAAAAUGAUGAGGAAACAUCAUGAUGAGGAGGCAUCAUGAUUAUGCUUUCUUCUUUUGUGGUUUUUUAAUAACCAUAAUUAUUGUUUGUUUAUUAGCCGAAAGGUGAUGGCCACUUGGCCACAAUUCAACAAUCUCCACCUUGGCCAAGUUCCGAAACCAUCACAGAGAAUCGAAUCAACAAUCACCAUAAUCACCCAAAGUACAAACUAAAGACAACGGGAACUAAAUCAAAUUCCCCAAACUUUCCGAUACUCAUAAUGAUCUCCACCUUGACUCAAAUUGUACCAAAGCCAACAAAAGUAGACCACUUCUCUACCGUCUUCUCCAAAUUUAAAUCCUAUGAAGAAAGGGAGAGCUCAUUUUUUAGAAGAAAGCAGAUUGAAGAGAGAAGAGGAGAGAGAAGGUAGAACCUUUUGGUUAUAAAAGGCAUUCGAUUAUGCCUUUGGAUGUGGGGAGAGCGGCAGAUGAGAGAGCACAGGGAGAGCAUUCGGCUCUCCCAUUUGAAUAUGAGUUGCUCCUUCCCACCAUUUGUAAUAAUCCAAUUUUGUUAGUAAUCACUCAAUCAAAGAUGUUGGUGCUACUUGUGUAGCUUUUGGGAGAGAAGGAUUUUGAUAUGUGUUUCUUCUUCUCCAUUUGUUUCUUAGUUUGAGUGAGAGCUAUUGGGUGUAUGUGGGAUUUGGGUUUGAGUGUUGAACUCUAUUUGUAAUCUUCUUUUGAUAUUAGUGGAAUUUCCUCGCCGUCUCGGAACUGGAUGUAGGCUUAUGCCGAACCAGUAUAAAAAUCCUUGUGUCUUUUGGAUUAUUUGUCUUGUCAUAUUUUGCCAUUAUUAGCUUUGGUUUCAUAUUUGAAGCUUCAGCAAUACAAACAGUACAAGAUCAAUGAAUUCCUAUGAAUGAAUAAACUAAAGAAAUCGAAGAAAGAGAAUAACGAGAGAGAAAAGCUUUUCAUUUAUAUUGCUCUAACAGAAAAUGAUUACAUGAUAAAAAUCUAAGUCUCCAAAACAAUAAUUAUAUAGAGACUAGAAUGAGCAGAAUCACAAUAUUGCCUUUCUAACUAAUUCUUAUCUUCUAACAACCUCAACACUCACAAGCUUGACACUUGUCAUUUCUUACAACCACUCCUAACAAAUCCUAACUGUUUAUCUGGUUAAUAUAACGGAUGGCCGACGACCGACACCGAGAUUUUCCCAAACCUUGGUCCUUACUCUCGUAUAAAUUCGAAACGAACAGUAAACAAUUUUCUCGCAAUCGGAAGCACGGCAAACAUGGAUCUGAGAGAAAGCAUCAUCAACCAAAACGACGUCGCAAGGAGGCUGACGAAGCAGCUGGUUCAGACCGAAGGCAAGCAGUCGAACCUCGUGUACUCGCCGCUGUCCAUCCACGUGGUGCUGAGCCUGAUCGCAGCCGGGUCAAAGGGUCCCACCCAGGAGCAGCUGCUCUCAUUCCUCAAGUCAGAGUCCACCGACCACCUCAACUCCUUCGCCUCCCAGCUCCUGCCCUUUAUCUUCUCCGAUGGGUCCCCCGUGGGCGGCCCCAAGCUGGCGUUUGCGAAUGGCGUUUGGGUGCAGAAGCCUCUCCCUCUGAAGCCUUCCUUCAAGCAGGUGGUGGAAGCUUCUUACAGGGCCGCUCUCGUCCUAGUUGAUUUUCAGACCAAUGUAAGCUCCCAAACCCUCUGUCAUGUCGUUUCGAUUGUUUUUGUCGAUGCUGCUCAUGAUCAAAGUCUUUGGUUGUAAUUUCAGACCAAUGUUUCAAUGUCGAUGCUGCUGAUGCUCUUUUGUUCGUUACUGUUUUUGGUUGUAAUUGAUCGAGAUAUGCAGGUUGAUAUCAUUGUUUUCUAACUUGUCGUAACUGUUGUUGGUGCUCAAGGCUGCUCAAGUGGAGUCGGAAGUGAAUUCAUGGGCUGAAAAGGAGACGAGCGGCCUUAUCAAGGAUCUACUUCCUCCCGGGUCACUUGACAGCUUCACCAGGCUCAUCUUUACCAAUGCAUUAUACUUCAAGGGAGCUUGGAAUGAGAAAUUUGAUGCAACAGCUACAAAAGAGCAUGACUUCCACCUUCUCGACGGGAGCACAGUUAAGGCGCCCUUCAUGACCAACAAGAACCAGCAGUAUGUAAGUGCCUUUGACGGUUUCUCAGUCUUAGGGCUUCCUUACAAACAAGGUGAAGACAAGCGGCGCUUCUCCAUGCACAUCUUUCUUCCACAGGAGAAAGAUGGGCUGCCAGCUUUGGUUGAGAAACUUGGCUCUGAGUCCGGGUUUUUAGAUCGCUAUCUUCCCAAACAACCAGUUGCAGUGGGCGACUUCAGAAUCCCAAAGUUUAAGAUCUCAUUUGGGUUUGAAGCUUCCAAUGUCCUAAAGAGUCUGGGACUGGUGCUGCCUUUCGUGGGUGGAGGUCUGACAGAGAUGGUGGACUCGCCCGAGGGUAAGAAGCUAUAUGUUUCCAACAUAUUCCACAAGUCGUUCAUCGAAGUGAAUGAAGAAGGCACAGAAGCUGCAGCUGCUUCUGCCGGCGUUAUAAGUGAUAGGAGGAUGCCCAUGACAUUUGUGGCUGAUCGUCCGUUCCUCUUCACGAUCAGGGAAGAAACGACCGGAACAGUUCUGUUCAUCGGUAACCUGCUCAACCCUCUUGCCGGCUGAGUGUUACAAUCCCCUGGGAAAAGGCAUCAUGUGUACGUAGAAUAAUACGAGAGUAUAGUAAAUAAAAUGUAUGAUCCUUGUAUACAUGUGCUAGGUUUGGUUAUUACCUAAUCACCCUGUACUUGCCGCAGUUGGUCUUGUUUCUCCCAUGUGGCGAUUGUUGCUCGUUCUCCCAUGGCGUUUAUCUAUUUGUACAAUCUUGAUUCUGAAUACUUAUUUUAUGUUGUACUCUGUUUGAACAAUUAAAGUUUUAGCCGACUGCAAACGUCGGUUAAGUGUUAAAGUAUUUGGACAGGGAUUGUCUGCUUUUUCAUUUUUCGUGUCCUUCUGUUUUGUGUGUUCACAGUUAAACUACGUCAAUAUUUUAUAUUAUUUUUUUAUAGAAAUAAUAAGAUAAAAAUAAAUAAUAAUAUAAAAUAUUAACGUGACUUAACUGUAACCACACAAACAGGAGGGCACGGAAGACCACCGGAAGUGGAAGAGCGGACAUUCUUGUCCAAAGUAUUUAAUAUAUAGAAUGUACGAGUGCUAGUGCUGUACCAUAUACAUGGUUGGUGAUGAAAAGGAUUAAACUAUGAAUAUUCUAUAAAAUAUUAUUUACCCUAGGACGAGGAUUUUCUUUGGAUCUUCUUUACGAGGAUCUUAGGAAUUAAUUCAUUUUAACGGUUUAUUGUACAUCGUACGGUCAACUUUCGUUAGAUACUUUUUAUGUUUAAUUUUAAAUAAAUUCAAAAUAAUUUUUCACUGCAUGAUGCAUUGAUUCCUAAAGCACUCGCAAAGAGACUCCAGAUGUUUAGUUCUCCAUGACUGGAGAUGGCCUAAGAUGCUAAACACUUAACACUAACCAAUUUUUCCGGUUAGUUAAAUUGUUUAAUAAAUGCUAUCCACACUCUAAAAUAAUUGACCAUAUUUUCUUGACUCUUUUGUUAGAUUGCAUGAAAUAUUGUUCGAGUAAAUAAUCUCUCAAGUAUCACUCAGACUUCAUAAUGAUUUUGAUUUUGAUUACAUAGUAAGCAUGUCAUUAAGGUCAAAUUUUGAACAAACACCCAAUUACAUAGCACGCAUGUUAUUAUGGUGUAUGCUCAUUGUCACUUUCAAAACUUGACACCUGUCUACUAACAUAACCGAUGGCCGACGACCGACACCUUCCCAAACCUUGGUCCUUACCCUCGUAUAAAUUCGAAACGAACAGUAAACAAUUUUCUCGCAAUCGGAAGCACGGCAAACAUGGAUCUGAGAGAAAGCAUCAUCAACCAAAACGACGUCGCAAGGAGGCUGACGAAGCAGCUGGUUCAGACCGAAGGCAAGCAGUUGAACCUCGUGUACUCGCCGCUGUCCAUCCACGUGGUGCUGAGCCUGAUCACAGCCGGGUCAAAGGGUCCCACCCAGGAGCAGCUGCUCUCAUUCCUCAAGUCAAAGUCCACCGAUCACCUCAACUCCUUCGCCUCCCAGCUAGUGUCCGUGAUCUUCUCCGAUGGGUCCCCCGUGGGCGGCCCCAAGCUGGCGUUUGCGAAUGGGCUUUGGGUGCACAAGCCUCUCACGCUGAAGCCUUCCUUCAAGCAGGUGGUGGACGCUUCUUACAAGGCAGCUCUCGCCCUAGUCGAUUUUCAGACUAAUGUAAGCUCCCAAACCCUCUGUCAUGUCGUUUCGAUAGUUUUUUUUUCAAUGCUGCUCAUGAUCAAAGUCCUGAAUUUUUUUUCCCGAUUUGAUUAGAGAUGUAUAAAUAUUUC